AAGGAGGAACAAUAUCUCAAAGAGAAACAGAUCAUUAUUGACGACAAUCAAAAUCUCAAAACUGACAUUUCUGAGAAAGAUAAAGUUAUAGCUAAACUGACAUCGAAUGAAAAACAGAUCAUUACUGACCUUAAAGAAAAGGACUUGCACAUAGCCAAACUAGUGAA
rnacentral:lncRNA from 1 species